rnacentral:rRNA from 1 species
GGGGAACCCACUCAGCAUAAGCUGAGUAUCUUGCACUGAAUACAUAGGUGCAAGAGGCGAACCAGGGGAACUGAAACAUCUAAGUACCCCGAGGAAAAGAAAUCAACCGAGAUUCCCCCAGUAGCGGCGAGCGAACGGGGAGCAGCCCAGAGUCUGAAUCAGCUUGUGUGUUAGUGGAAGCGUCUGGAAAGUCGCAGGGUACAGGGUGAUACUCCCGUACACGAAAGCACACUUGCUGUGAACUCGAAGAGUAGGGCGGGACACGUGGUAUCCUGUCUGAAUAUGGGGGGACCAUCCUCCAAGGCUAAAUACUCCUGACUGACCGAUAGUGAACCAGUACCGUGAGGGAAAGGCGAAAAGAACCCCGGCGAGGGGAGUGAAAAAGAACCUGAAACCGUGUACGUACAAGCAGUGGGAGCCUCUUUUAUGGGGUGACUGCGUACCUUUUGUAUAAUGGGUCAGCGACUUAUAUUCUGUAGCAAGGUUAACCGUAUAGGGGAGCCGAAGGGAAACCGAGUCUUAACUGGGCGUUAAGUUGCAGGGUAUAGACCCGAAACCCGGUGAUCUAGCCAUGGGCAGGUUGAAGGUUGGGUAACACUAACUGGAGGACCGAACCGACUAAUGUUGAAAAAUUAGCGGAUGACUUGUGGCUGGGGGUGAAAGGCCAAUCAAACCGGGAGAUAGCUGGUUCUCCCCGAAAGCUAUUUAGGUAGCGCCUCGUGAACUCAUCUUCGGGGGUAGAGCACUGUUUCGGCUAGGGGGCCAUCCCGGCUUACCAACCCGAUGCAAACUACGAAUACCGAAGAAUGUUAUCACGGGAGACACACGGCGGGUGCUAACGUCCGUCGUGAAGAGGGAAACAACCCAGACCGCCAGCUAAGGUCCCAAAGUCAUGGUUAAGUGGGAAACGAUGUGGGAAGGCACAGACAGCCAGGAUGUUGGCUUAGAAGCAGCCAUCAUUUAAAGAAAGCGUAAUAGCUCACUGGUCGAGUCGGCCUGCGCGGAAGAUGUAACGGGGCUAAACCAUGCACCGAAGCUGCGGCAGCGACACUAUGUGUUGUUGGGUAGGGGAGCGUUCUGUAAGCCGUUGAAGGUGGCCUGUGAGGGUUGCUGGAGGUAUCAGAAGUGCGAAUGCUGACAUAAGUAACGAUAAUGCGGGUGAAAAGCCCGCACGCCGGAAGACCAAGGGUUCCUGUCCAACGUUAAUCGGGGCAGGGUGAGUCGACCCCUAAGGCGAGGCCGAAAGGCGUAGUCGAUGGGAAACAGGUUAAUAUUCCUGUACUUGGUGUUACUGCGAAGGGGGGACGGAGAAGGCUAUGUUAGCCGGGCGACGGUUGUCCCGGUUUAAGCAUGUAGGCGGAGAGUUUAGGUAAAUCCGGACUCUUUUUAACGCUGAGGUGUGAUGACGAGGCACUACGGUGCUGAAGUAACAAAUGCCCUGCUUCCAGGAAAAGCCUCUAAGCAUCAGGUAACAUCAAAUCGUACCCCAAACCGACACAGGUGGUCAGGUAGAGAAUACCAAGGCGCUUGAGAGAACUCGGGUGAAGGAACUAGGCAAAAUGGUGCCGUAACUUCGGGAGAAGGCACGCUGAUAUGUAGGUGAAGCCCCUGCGGGUGGAGCUGAAAUCAGUCGAAGAUACCAGCUGGCUGCAACUGUUUAUUAAAAACACAGCACUGUGCAAACACGAAAGUGGACGUAUACGGUGUGACGCCUGCCCGGUGCCGGAAGGUUAAUUGAUGGGGUUAGCGG